GGGACAAGAGUUUAAAUCAUUGUUUUGGAAGACAGUAUAUGCUACUUAUGAGGCUGCAUUCAAGAAACACAUUACUGCACUCAAGGACCUAGAUGUAAAGGCUAAUGAAGAUUUUAUGAAGCAAGAUAAGAGGGUUUUCUAUAAAGCUUUCAUCAACACUUGGCCCAAAUGUGAUGUAGUGACAUCUAACCUAGCAGAGGCCUUCAACUCAUACAUAUGCAAGGCACGGACAAUGCCAAGCAUUUCAAUGUUUGAGGAGAGCAGAUCAUGCUUAAUGGAGAGAAUGUACAACAAAUAUGAGAGUGGUCUCCAGUGUGAAGAUGCUACCUGCCCAAGAAUAAGAAAACAAUUGAAGCAUCAAAAUUGGGUACCAGAUUCUGCAUUGUGAAGCCUGCUGGAGGAAACAAAUUUCAAAUGUCUCAUGGAAAGAAUGUAUUUGUUAUCAAUUUGAUCAACAAAUGUUGCACAUGCAGAGAAUGGUAUUUAAGUAGUAUCCCAUGUUCACAUGCACUUGCCUGUAUACACUUCAUGAAGCAUGACCUAGUAGAUUAUGUAGAUCCAUAUUAUGGGAAAACACAAAAUUUAGCUGUUUAUCAAAAUGCUUUGGAGCCUUUGAAUGGGUCAGAAAUGUGGCCAGAGGUGGAUGGUCCAGCCAUAUUGCUCCCUUAACACAAAAACAUGCCAAGUAAACCAAAAAGAAAUAGGAAAAAAGAUGCUAGUGAAGAUCCAAAGAAUGACAAAAUGUCUAGAAAGGAAAUGGAGAUGUAUUGUCGACAUUGCUUGCAACCAAGACAUAAUAAGAGAGCUUGUCCAGUGUUAGACCAACCUCCUACAGAGAAUCCAGCAAAGGUAAAAAAAAUUUAUAUAUUGUCCAAUGCAAGUAAUAAGUGUGUUUCUUUUUAC
rnacentral:misc_RNA from 1 species